GUUUUGGGUGUGUGGAGUCUGUGGCUGAGCUCUGCUGGGGGAGCCUGAGGUGAGCUAUGGUAGAAGAUGUGAUUCACUACAUGGGAACUAGAAGGUGGAUUUUGCUGGUCCUGUCUUUAUCAGUGACUCCUGAAGCUGGCUGAAAGCACGAUUUUCACAAAGCUGAACUACAUUUUAAUGCUUGCUGUCACUUUUGGAAAACCUCAAAAUUGUGACUUUUUCCAACAAAGAAACUAGAGACAUAAAAAUCAACGAAGGAAACAGUUAAUAGACUGCAGGGCAAUCGAAGGGCUUUGGCUCCUACUGCAAAAUAUUAACGGCUGUAAUUUGACCUCUUAGCCAAUUAAUUUUGGCCAGUGUAAAAUUCCAUACACUAAAUCUGUUUACGAUACUUCACUAUUCUAGGCAUCUGAUACUGUGCCAAGACCUUAAUAUGUCUCUGAACAGAGGUCAAGUCAUGGCCUUAAAACGAAGACUUGAAAUAUAAGCUGUGUGUGGGUGGGUUGCCUUAUGUCCCUAAGGGGCUUAUGAGUUCCUUUUCUAUUGCUGUAUGAUCUGAAACUCUGGUCACUGCUCUCUGUAUUACCUUCUUGUAUUUCUUAAUCAAAAUAAAUCCAUUUUGCAGCUCA
rnacentral:lncRNA from 1 species